GACGAACGCUGGCGGCGUGCUUAACACAUGCAAGUCGAACGAAGUGGCGAACGGGUGAGUAAUACGUGGGUAACCUGCCCUCCUUUUUGGGAUAAGCCUUGGAAACGGGGUCUAAUACCGAAUAAAGGGGGAUGGGCUCGCGGCCUAUCAGCUUGUUGGUGGGGUGAUGGCCUACCCAGGCGGUGACGGGUAGCCGGCCUGAGAGGGUGACCGGCAACUAUGGGACUGGGAUACGGCCCAGACUCCUACGCGUGGCGGCAGUGGAGGAUAGUGCACAAUGGACGAAAGCCUGAUGCGGGGACGCGGCGUGGGGGAUGAAGGCUUUCGGGUUGUAAACCUCUGUCGCUAUCGAAGGGGUAGGUGGAGAAGAAGCGCCGGCUAACGACGUGCCAGCAGCCGCGGUAAUAC
rnacentral:rRNA from 1 species